rnacentral:rRNA from 1 species
CUAGUACGAGAGGACCGGAGUGGACGAACCUCUGGUGUUCGGGUUGUGUCGCCAGACGCAUUGCCCGGUAGCUAAGUUCGGAAUUGAUAAGCGCUGAAAGCAUCUAAGCGCGAAGCGAGCCCUGAGAUGAGUCUUCCCUGACAGUUUAACUGUCCUAAAGGGUUGUUCGAGACUAGAACGUUGAUAGGCAGGGUGUGUAAGCGUUGUGAGGCGUUGAGCUAACCUGUACUAAUUGCCCGUGAGGCUUAACCAUACAACACCCAAGGGGUUUUGUA